rnacentral:rRNA from 1 species
UACGUAGGGUGCAAGCGUUGUCCGGAAUUAUUGGGCGUAGAGAGCUCGUAGGCGGUCUGUCGCGUCGGCUGUGAAAACUCGGGGCUCAACUCCGAGCUUGCAGUCGAUACGGGCAGGCUAGAGUUCGGCAGGGGAGACUGGAAUUCCUGGUGUAGCGGUGAAAUGCGUAGAUAUCGAGAGGAACACCUGCGGCGAAGGCGGGUUGCUGGGCUGACACUGACGCUGAUGCGCGAAAGCCAGGGGAGCGAACGGG